rnacentral:rRNA from 1 species
CAGCACCUCAAGUGGUCAGGAUGAUUAUUGGGCCUAAAGCAUCCGUAGCCGGCGCUGUAAGUUUUCGGUUAAAUCUGUAUGCUCAACAUACAGGCUGCCGGGAAUACUGCAGAGCUAGGGAGUGGGAGAGGUAGACGGUACUCGGUAGGAAGGGGUAAAAUCCUUUGAUCUAUUGAUGACCACCUGUGGCGAAGGCGGUCUACCAGAACACGUCCGACGGUGAGGGAUGAAAGCCAGGGGAGCGAUCCGGAUUAGAGACCCGAGUAGUCC